UUUGACACCAUCUUCCAGGAUGGAGAUUAUUUGUGAAGACUUCAGUAGAAUCCCAGGACUAAACGUCUAAAUUUUUUCUCCAAACUUGACUGACUUGGGAAAACCAGGUGAAUAGAAUAAGAGCUGAAUGUUUUAAGUAAUAAACGUUCAAACUGCUCUAAGUAAAAAAAUGCAUUUUACUGCAAUGAAUUUCUAGAAUAUUUUUCCCCCAAAGCUAUGCCUCCUAACCCUUAAAUGGUGAACAACUGGUUUCUUGCUACAGCUCACUGCCAUUUCUUCUUACUAUCAUCACUAGGUUUCCUAAGAUUCACUCAUACAGUAUUAUUUGAAGAUUCAGCUUUGUUCUGUGAAUGUCAUCUUAGGAUUGUGUCUAUAUUCUUUUGCUUAUUUCUUUUUACUCUGGGCCUCUCAUACUAGUAAGAUUUUAAAAAGCCUUUUCUUCUCUGUAUGUUUGGCUCACCAAGGCGAAAUAUAUAUUCUUCUCUUUUUCAUUUCUCAAGAAUAAACCUCAUCUGCUUUUUUGUUUUUCUGUG
rnacentral:lncRNA from 1 species